UGGGGAAUAUUGCACAAUGGGCGAAAGCCUGAUGCAGCAACGCCGCGUGAGGGACGACGGCCUUCGGGUUGUAACCUCUUUAGCAAGGAAGAAGCGAAAGUGACGGUACUUGCAGAAAAAGCGCCGGCUAACUACGUGCCAGCAGCCGCGGUAAUACGUAGGGCGCAAGCGUUAUCCGGAAUUAUUGGGCGUAAAGAGCUCGUAGGCGGUUUGUCGCGUCUGCUGUGAAAACCCGAGGCUCAACCUCGGGCCUGCAGUGGGUACGGGCAGACUAGAGUGCGGUAGGGGAGAUUGGAACUCCUGGUGUAGCGGUGGAAUGCGCAGAUAUCAGGAAGAACACCGAUGGCGAAGGCAGAUCUCUGGGCCGUAACUGACGCUGAGGAGCGAAAGGGUGGGGAGCAAACAGGCUUAGAUGACCCUGGUAGUCCACCCCGU
rnacentral:rRNA from 1 species